rnacentral:rRNA from 1 species
UACGGGGGGAGCAAGCGUUGUUCGGAUUUACUGGGCGUAAAGGGCGCGUAGGCGGCCACCGCAAGUCGACUGUGAAAUCUCCGGGCUUAACCCGGAAAGGUCAGCCGAUACUGCGGGGCUAGAGUGCAGAAGGGGCAACUGGAAUUCUCGGUGUAGCGGUGAAAUGCGUAGAUAUCGGAAGGAACAUCAGUGGCGAAGGCGACUUCCUGGCCUGUUCUUGACGCUGAGGCGCGAAAGCUAGGGGAGCAAACGGGG